GAUGAACGCUGGCGGCGUGCCUAAUACAUGCAAGUCGAGCGAACAGACAAGGAGCUUGCUCCUCUGACGUUAGCGGCGGACGGGUGAGUAACACGUGGAUAACCUACCUAUAAGACUGGGAUAACUUCGGGAAACCGGAGCUAAUACCGGAUAAUAUAUUUAACCGCAUGGUUCAAUAGUGAAAGACGGUUUUGCUGUCACUUAUAGAUGGAUCCGCGCCGCAUUAGCUAGUUGGUAAGGUAACGGCUUACCAAGGCAACGAUGCGUAGCCGACCUGAGAGGGUGAUCGGCCAAACUGGAACUGAGAAACGGUCCAGACUCCUACGGGAGGCAGCAGUAGGGAAUCUUCCGCAAUGGGAGAAAGCCUGACGGAGCAACGCCGCGUGAGUGAUGAAGGUCUGCGGAUCGUAAAACUCUGUUAUUAGGGAAGAACAAAUGUGUAAGUAACUAUGCACGUCUUGACGGUACCUAAUCAGAAAGCCACGGCUAACUACGUG
rnacentral:rRNA from 1 species